AUAAAUGUCAGCUUCUUUGUUUCACUAAAAUAGAAGGGUGCUGGUGUAAUGAAGAUUUGGAGCUCCCAAAUAAAUCCACCUCAAAGACAUUUGUUGCCUCACUUCCUUCAUUAAACGCAGAGCCUCCGCCGGUCAAAGUGACACUUAAAAUGAAACAUA